rnacentral:rRNA from 1 species
UACAGAGGUCUCAAGCGUUGUUCGGAUUCAUUGGGCGUAAAGGGUGCGUAGGUGGCGCCGUAAGUCAGGUGUGAAAUUUCGGAGCUUAACUCCGAAACUGCAUUUGAUACUGCGGUGCUUGAGGACUGGAGAGGAGACUUGGAAUUUACGGUGUAGCAGUGAAAUGCGUAGAGAUCGUAAGGAAGACCAGUGGCGAAGGCGGGUCUCUGGACAAGUUCCU